UUGAAAGGGAAACGAUUGAAGUCAGUCGUACCAGCGGGAAAUCAACCUUUCGAGUGGGGGUUUUGGAGUUUUGAAGAGUUUCAAAACCUUUGAGAUUUCAAAAAUUUCGCUCUUUUGGUGUACUUUCUCGUGGGUAGGUUAACAUCGAUUUUGAUCAUCAUAAAAAGACUGGAGGAAUGUAGCUUCGAUCUUGUAUUGAAGUGUUAUAGCCUUUGGUAAAUGUGAUGAUUAGGAUCGAGGAUUGCAACGAAUACCCUUUUGGGCUAUCCGCCUGAUCUCUGAUACGUGGCCUUGGCAUCGAAAGCUUGCUUAUGGUAUCAAGGUAUUACGGUCAAAAGGUUAGAACGGAUUACAUUCGUUAAGGAUGUUGACGUA
rnacentral:rRNA from 1 species